rnacentral:rRNA from 1 species
UACGAAGGGGGCUAGCGUUGCUCGGAAUCACUGGGCGUAAAGGGUGCGUAGGCGGGUCUUUAAGUCAGGGGUGAAAUCCUGGAGCUCAACUCCAGAACUGCCUUUGAUACUGAAGAUCUUGAGUUCGGGAGAGGUGAGUGGAACUGCGAGUGUAGAGGUGAAAUUCGUAGAUAUUCGCAAGAACACCAGUGGCGAAGGCGGCUCACUGGCCCGAUACUGACGCUGA